rnacentral:rRNA from 1 species
GAUACUCCCCAAACCCCUGUGACAUACCACUUGUUGCCUCGGCGGAUCAGCCCGCUCCCGGUAAAACGGGACGGCCCGCCAGAGGACCCCUAAACUCUGUUUCUAUAUGUAACUUCUGAGUAAAACCAUAAAUAAAUCAAAACUUUCAACAACGGAUCUCUUGGUUCUGGCAUCGAUGAAGAACGCAGCAAAAUGCGAUAAGUAAUGUGAAUUGCAGAAUUCAGUGAAUCAUCGAAUCUUUGAACGCACAUUGCGCCCGCCAGUAUUCUGGCGGGCAUGCCUGUUCGAGCGUCAUUUCAACCCUCAAGCACAGCUUGGUGUUGGGACUCGCGUUAAUUCGCGUUCCCCAAAUUGAUUGGCGGUCACGUCGAGCUUCCAUAGCGUAGUAGUAAAACCCUCGUUACUGGUAAUCGUCGCGGCCACGCCGUUAAACCCCAACUUCUGAAUGUUGACCUCGGAUCAGGUAGGAAUACCCGCUGAACUUAAGCAUAUCAAUAAGCGGAGGGAAAAGAAAACCCCC